GUGCUUGCUUAGGCAGCACAUACACUAAAAUUGGGACGAUUCAGAGAAGAUUAGCAUGGCCCCUGUGCAAGGAUGACACUCAAAUUCGUGAAGCAUUCCAUAUUUUA
ensembl:snRNA U6 U6 spliceosomal RNA